CCUACGGGAGGCAGCAGUGGGGAAUAUUGGACAAUGGGCGAAAGCCUGAUCCAGCCAUGCCGCGUGUGUGAAGAAGGCCUUCGGGUUGUAAAGCACUUUCAGUGGGGAAGAAAGCCUUGGGGCUAAUACCCUCGAGGAAGGACAUCACCCACAGAAGAAGCACCGGCUAACUCCGUGCCAGCAGCCGCGGUAAUACGGAGGGUGCGAGCGUUAAUCGGAAUUACUGGGCGUAAAGCGCGCGUAGGCGGUCUGAUAAGCCGGUUGUGAAAGCCCCGGGCUCAACCUGGGAACGGCAUCCGGAACUGUCAGGCUAGAGUGCAGGAGAGGAAGGUAGAAUUCCCUGUGUAGCGGUGAAAUGCGUAGAGAUCGGGAGGAAUACCAGUGGCGAAGGCGGCCUUCUGGACUGACACUGACGCUGAGGUGCGAAAGCGUGGGUAGCAAACAGGAUUAGAUACCCCUGUAGUC
rnacentral:rRNA from 1 species